GAAGAGAUGGCUCAGAGGUUAAGAGCAUUGGCUACUCUUACAAAGGACCUGGGUUCAGUUCCCAGUAUCCACA
rnacentral:tRNA from 1 species